UCCCAAAUCAGAAUUCCCUCCAAUCCUUAAUUCCCCCAAUCACAGCCUCUGAGGGACCCUCUGUACUCCCGGUCGCCUCCCUCUAUCGCCUCCGCCGCCUCAACGUUGCCUCAAUGCUAUCGCCGCCGCCUCCAACUCCAUCGCGGCCUCCUUGUCGCCGCCUCCAACUCCAUCUCUGCCUCCUCGCCACCGCUAAAUCUCCUUCUCACAUAGUGCUUGCCGUUUCUAGCCCAUCGCCUCCGCCUCCUCAGUGCUGCUGCCCCCCUGGACCCCUCGCCCUCGGUCGUCGCUCGCCCUCGCCGGCUCUCCCCCUGGCCCCCUCGCCCUCGGUCGUGUUUGGUGGCAUCCCUAGGAACCGUGUGUUUAUAUUAAUUAUAUGUGCUAAUGAGUGAAGAGAAUAGCUCUUUUGGAUGUUUGGGCAAACUUCAUUUGCUGUCAUCCCGAUUUCUCAGGGCUGCUUUCUUGGCUGAUUGCUGUUAUAGAUUUGGAGAAUUGGAUUCUUGAAUCUGACUUGCAAAUACAAGAAGAUAUAAGGAUAAAGAGACUGGGGGCAAAUAAAGUUGGAUUACUAAAAGCACAACAAUGAAAACUGUUGAGGCCUUACAUCUUACAAAGUCAAGCUUCUUAUACUAUAAAGUCAGAAGAGUGGGAUUGUUGAAAACCAAUAGAUAUACACUAAUUGAUCAGUUAACUCACCUUUUAUUAGAAGAUUCUACGGUCUGUGACCCACACUGAACACGAAAAGGAGACCAGAAAAAUUGGUCUUGGGAUAGUGAAUUGAAACAUCAAAUCAGAAUUAAUUUUGAAAAGACUGUCUUUGACCGUAUGACGGACAUAUUGUUUCGUGUUCGAAAAGAUUUGACUAAAAAACUAGCUUGGAUGUGUCCGCUGUAUUCGAAUCCUUAAAGAUUUGACAUAUUAAAUCGGGCCUUAGAUGUUGGGGCUAGUAUGCAUACCUGUGGUUCCAUUCUUAUGUCGGAGCAUAAGAAAAGACUGUCGAGACAAUUUGGUUGCCCACCCACACAGGUUGAGUUGUUCCUCGCAACACAUAAAAAGAAAGACAAUUUAGGAUUGGUUGAUAGGGGGUGACAAUGAUGAAAACAGCGGCGGGGGAGGCAAACCUACCUUUAAUGGCUGACAGACGAUGGUGAAUGGGUUCCAUAGUUGCCCUAAUAGCUUCUUGAAUUUGCUCUGCCAAUGAGCUCUACGACGGUGGUGGCGGGGGCGAUGGUACGUAGUAGGAAUUAGGGAUGACAUGCACUUCUAACGCCAUCCCAUAAACGCGACCCUUUUUCUUGCCGCCCGCAACCUCCAACCAUAAUGAUCUCUCAUCAAUAGCUGGCUGCGAGGGCUGGACAACGUCACUAUCUUCCGACUGGCCAAAUGUCGAUGCAUGUGAUGAUGUCUCGUGUUGCCACGUUUGGAAGUCAACCUGCAAGCAUCAUAGCUACAUGAAAUAAGUUAUAUUAUCAAAAUGUCAGUUAACCAUAAUAGAAUAAUAUAAAAAGACAGAAGUUUGAGCAUAAGAAAAGAUUGGUAAUAUUUGAUAUUUUUUAUUAUUUUUAUUUUACUCAAUUACUUUUUAAGAAACAAUAAUUUUUGCAUGAACGAAUUUUUUUUUCUCUUGCAGUCGUGGCAAUUUGGUUGCCCACCCACACAGGCUGAGUUGUUCCCCGUGACACAAAAAGAAAGACAAUUUAGGAUUCGUUGAUAGGAGGUCCGAUGAUACUUAUAUAAGUUUACAUUACUUGUGUCUUUUUAUAUUAUUCUAUUAUGGUUAACUGACCUUUUGAUAAUAUAACUUAUUUUAUGUAUCUAUGAUGUUUGUAGGCUGGCUUUUAGAUGUGGCAACACGAGGCAUUAUCAUAUGCAUCAGCAUUUGGCCAAUCGGAAGAUAGUGAUGUUGCCUAGCCCUCGCAACUAGCUAUUGAUCAUUAUGGUUGGAGGUUGCAGGCGAGAAGAAAAUGGGUUGCGUCUAUGGAAUAGGAUCAGAAGCGCAUGUCAUCUCUGGUUCCUACUACGUACCAUCGCCAUUGUCGUCGUCGUCAAGCUCAUUGGCAGAGCAGAUUAAAGAAGUUGUUAGGGUAGCUAUGAAACCCUUUCACCAUAGCAUGUUAGCCAUAGAAGGUAGGUUGCCUCUCUUGCCGCUGUCUUCAUCAUUAUUGCCGCCGAAUCCUUCGGAUCAUUAAAAAGAUAUGUUAUUGUUAUAGAUGAUAGAUGAUAGAUUUUACGAUGUAUUUUUAAUAUUUAUGGAUGAUGUGUAUAAUUUUAUGAAUUUAUUGUGUGGUAUGAAUGAUUUUUUUCAGUU